rnacentral:misc_RNA from 1 species
GAACGAGUUCCCUCACGCAAAGCCUACACCCGAUCUCCCCCGGCCUCCCAUCACUUUCGACAGAGGACGGUAUUUAGUGUGACCGCGAAGAGGAUAGAGUUCUAGUUUAUGGGUGGGGGCGGGACGUGUGAGCAUUUGUCUUAUGUUUUUGUACAAAGUUGACGUUUUAAGUAGCGAACGGUGAUAUAAGACACGGAUGCCACGACAAAAUUUACAUCUCUAAUUAGAGUCUCUGAAUUGUUCAGAAGGAAAAGAUAACAGACUAUAUGCUAUUUUGGUUUGCUGACUAUAAUUAUCCCAAAAUUCUGGUUACAGUUUAUUUUCUUCGUUUCAGACGCAUGUUUCCUACUCUGCGCGUGUCCUUUAGCGGACUGGAGCCUGACCAAGAAUACAUCGUUGCAAUGGAUAUCGUACCCGUAGACAACAAGCGGUACAGGUACGCCUAUCACCGAUCAGCGUGGCUGGUGGCGGGAAAAGCCGACCCUCCUCUCCCCUCCAACAUCUACGUCCACCCAGACUCCGUCUUCACGGGAGCACAACUUCAGAAACAGAUCAUCUCCUUUGAGAAACUUAAGCUGACCAACAAUGUACUGGACAGGGCUGGACAUAUAAUUUUGAAUUCCAUGCACAAGUACCAGCCUCGAAUUCACAUCAUCAGGAAAACAUCAACUACACCUAAUCCUCUGACGUCACUGAAAAUGACCGACCAUAAAACGUUCUCUUUUUCUGAGACUGGAUUCAUUGCAGUAACCGCUUACCAAAACCAGCUGAUUACAAAGUUGAAAAUAGACAGCAACCCUUUUGCAAAAGGUUUCAGAGAUUCCAGCAGGCUAUCAGACAUAGAAAGAGAAACGAUGGAGAGUCUUUUGCAAAGUCAGACACAGGCAAACAUGAUGCCUUUCAGUGAUGAACUGGGCAAACAAAGACAAACGAUCUUUCGAGGUUUAGGAGAUUCAGAGCUUGCCUUAUCUCUGUUACACGGAGCUAAUUUAGUGGCGGGCUCCGGGUCACUGAGUCCAUCAUUGGGAAACUCAAUCAACAGAAGAUUGUCCCUCCCUAUGUCGCCUCUCUAUUAUACCGGAGCCUUACCCAAUCAGGAGAUCCUACGUCAUCAGUUUGUCAACCAAUCAGCAUCGUCUCCUAUGUUACUUAUCAACACACAGAUAUCAUCCGUAUCUCAAAUGAUGCAGUUUUUCAUAUUGUUAAAAACUUGGAUUUAUCCAAAUGCUUAUUAGCAUAAAAACACUUAAAUCAAAGGCUGCGGAAACCAAUGGUGCUGGACAUUGUCACGUGAAAUAUGCGAAUGUAUGGAUGUCAAUAUGAUUUGUUAUAUUUUCUAGUCAAACUACAUGUAUGAUAUCAUUGUCAUGAAAAUAAAACCUGAUG